CCUGAAACCAUAAAAUUCCUAGAAGAAAACAUAGGCAGAAUCCUCUAUGACAUUGGUCUUAGCAAUAUUUUUUGGAUCUAUCUCCUCAGGCAAGGGAAUCCAAAUCAAAAAUAAAGAAAUGGGACUACAUCAGACUAAAAAGCUUUUGCACAACAAAAGAAACCAUCAGCAAAACCUAUAGGCAGGAGUUCUCAUUGUGGCUCAGUGGUAACUAACCGGACCAGGAUCCACGAGGAUGUCGGUUCAAUCCCUGACUUCACUCAGUGGAUUAUAGAUCCAGCAUUGCUAUGAGCUGUGGUUUAGGUCUCAGACACAGCUUGCAUCUGGCAUUGCUGUGGCUGUGGCGUAGGCCAGCAGCUACAGCUCUGAUUCAACCCCUAGCCUGGGAACUUUCAUAUGCCACAGAUAUGGCCCUAAAAAUAGAAAGACCAAAAAAAAAAAAAAGUAUGUAUAUAUACACACACGCACACAAACAUAUAUAUAAAGGCAGCUUACUGAAUGGGAGAAGAUAUUUGCAAAUAGGUGAAGAAGAUUAAGGGUAUGAACUGCCAUUAUAACAAAUAAGCCAUGAAGAUGUAAUAUAUAGCAAAAGGAAUAUAGUCAAUAAUAUUGUGUUAACUUUGUUAUGGAGAAAGAUGGCUUGGUAACUCAUGGCGAUUGUUUCAUAAUGUGUGCAAAUGUCAAAUCACCACGUAGUACACUGAAACUAGCAGUAUAUCAACUAUAUUUCAACUUUUUUUAAAAAGCAUGUGGUGAGCCAGUUUGAAUCAAGAUUGUAUUGUUCUGUUAGUGUGUACACAUCUGUACACAUUUAUAUUUGGGAGCUGCUGUUGAUGGCACCAGGCAGAGCAGGAUAGUCCAGGAUGGACCACAUCCACGUGAGUCUUCCUGUUUAUGUAGCAGGUGGACAGGGGCAACAGACCCACUAGCAAGUCAGGCUGUUAGCUGCAACUGCCAGGUAACAGUUUUGGAUCAAGAGUAACGGUUCUCAACUAGGGGAAAUUUUUUCCCAUGGUGGACAUUUGGCAGUGUCUAGAAACAUUUUCACUUGAAACAGCUUGAGGAAAGAUGCUACUGGUAGAGGCAGAGGUCAGUGAUGCUGCUAAAAAUCCCACGAUGUCGCUCAACUACGAGUUAUCUGGUCUAAAACAUCAGUAGUCCCAAGGUUGAGAAAUGAUGAUCUAGGGAUCAAAGUGUGUCCCCUUCUCUCCCUCAUGGGAUCUAAGUUGUUUUCUUCCCCAGUGCCAGGGUUUUUGUCUUCCCUCCACUGCCACAAAAUUUGUACCUAUAAUUUCUGAUUUUCUCCAAUUAUCUGUACUUUUACCUAGACCUUUUGUCCCGAUUAUCACCCAGGAAGCAGCCAAGAUGCAGUGAUCUUUUUGGAAGGAUUUGCUGUAUUUUGUGACUCCAUCACCUUAGGCAGGAAAAUAGAACAGGAGGAAGUGAGAGUGGUAGCAUCAGCAACCUUUUGAAGGCUCAGCAGUGCUGGAUAUCUGUAGAUGGUAGGCAGCUGUGAAAUUGCCAUCAAAUUCUUUCACUAUUGGCUCAUUGCCAGGUGGCCUUUAGGAUAAAAAGUGCCUCGUUGCUAGAUUGCAAGUGAUCUUGAAGACUAAGAACAUGAUACAUACAUACAUAGGAGUACAGUAGUUUCAAGGGCUUCAAUUUUGUGUCUACAGUCAGUUGAACAAUGUUGUAACCUAAAAAUGUGUCAGCAGUGCUGAGGCAGCACCAGCCACCCUGAGAGGUGACCAAAGUACUGGUGUAGUCAGCCUGUCAGUAUGUGUGAUAUGGCCUCAACUACCUGCAGAGAAACAGGCUGACUUUUGGCAGGAGUCACAGGUCUGGCUUGCAUGGCAUACACAGCCCAUGAUGGUGGACAUACUGCCAUGUGUGAGGGCAGUCUGGGUGUGCAGAGAACUACCAUAGAUAUAUCUACAGGAGUGAGCCAGACCGUCCAACCAGUAGCCACAAUUGGUUCCCACAGCAUACACCCUUUAAAAGGCUUUUUUGGUUUCUUUUUUUUCUUUUCUUUUUUUUUUUUUUUAGGGUCACACCCACAGCAUAUGGAGGUUCCCAGGCUAGGGGUCCAAUCAGAGCUGUAGCCACUGACCUACAUCACAGCCACACUAACUCCAGAUCCGAGCCACAUCUGCGACCUACACCACAGCUCACGGCAACGCUGGAGCCUUAACUCACUGAGGCCAGGGAUCAAACUUGGGUCCUCAUGGAUACUAGUUAGAUUUGUUUCCACUGAGCCACGACAGGAACUCCUAAAAGGGUUGCUUUAAUAUGCCUAAACACUCUUUCAAGUGGCAGGCCAGAUGGGUGUGCCAUGGGCAAAAAGCCCAAGGGUCAGCAAAAGUGACUGUUCACAACCAGACUAUGAAAAUGGCCUGGAGUUCAGCAGCGACCACAAUGACUUUAGCUUUGCACAGCUGGUGCUGAGGCUGGACAGCUGCCACAGAACAGUGGAUACCAUCAGCCUUUAACUUAAAUGAGCCACCAUGAUUCAGGCCCAGGUGUUAAAGGGAUCUCUGUGAAGUGAGGGUCCCUUUGAGGCUUCAGUUUCAGACAAUGGGGUAGGAGGCACAGUUUUCCAAGAGUUGCUGAGGCUGGUACAUUCCAGAAAACAGGAAGUUCUCUGCUGGAUGAUACACUAUCUCCAAUACCCAAAGCAUCUGGGAGUCAGGCCUUUCCAAAGAACAAAAAGAUAGCAUUUUCCUUGACUGCUAGAGAUUAAGCAUCAUGAACCCAUCCAAAGGCCAAGAAACUGUACUUGGCAAGCAAGCUCCUGAACUUUAUUGGCGUUUAUCAAACACUCUUGUUGGUAGAGAUGUGACAAAACCAGCCAAAGCCUCUGAGAUGGAGGCUCUGACUUGCCAACCAACAAGCCAUCAUCUGUCUAGGGAAAUGUGGGCUGAAAGUUUAGAAGUCCUUGUGUUACAAGUAGCCCACCCACUGAGGGCAAAUGGCAGGGGAGUGACCUGCCCAGAGACACAUUUCAAAAUGUAGCGUAAGAAUUUACAGUAUGUGUACAUCAAUCUCACCUUUAAAAGUGUAGUUUCGAAGUGUAACAGCAUGUUGGACUGGCCCAGAGGACCUCUCUACACACAUAAAUACUAAGAUACUUUAGAAUUAAUAACCCUUGCUUUAUUGCAAGUUUUGCUGAAGCCCUACCCGUGGCAUUUGAAUGUUUUUUUUUUCCUUAUUUACAGCAUGCACCAGUUAGCUUUUUCUGCAGAGCCAAGAGGCAAAUUUGAGGGUAUUGUGUAACAGAGGGAAAACAAAGGUCUACAAACUUUUUAAUGAAGUUCACACUAUGACUAUGGAGUAAAUUUUUUUCUGCACUAUAUAUUUUUGGCUGCACCAAAUGGAUGUGGAAGUUCCCCGGCCAGGGAUCAAACCUGCACUACAGCUGCAACCAGCCACAGCAGUGGCUUAACCUGCUGAGCCACAAGUGAGCUCCCACACAUCUUUCUUUUGGAGUGGGGUGUAAUUAUUUCACCUAAUUAGGGUUCAAAGUUAAUGAUCCUCCAUCGUUAAAAAUCAGAUCACCUGUAUGUAUCUCAAUACUGUUUUUUUUUUCAGUUUUUGCUUUUAAGGGCCACACCUGUGGCAUAGGGAGUUUCCCAGGCUAGGGGUCCAAUCAGAGCUACAGCUGCCAGCCUACAUAACAGCCUCAGCAACGCAGGAUCUGAGCCACUUCUGCAACCUACACAGCUCGUGGCAACACCAAAUCCUUAACCCACUGAGUGAGGCCAGGGAUCAAACCUGCAACCUUAUGGAUGCUAGUUGGGUUCGUUAACUGCUUAGCCACAACGGGAACUCAAUACUAAUUUGUAAUGAGAUUUCAGUAUGGCACCUUUGAAGUUUUCUCACAGAUAGGUGAUAGGUGUGGCACUCAAAACGUGGAAUUGUUCCUGAAAUGUGCAGUGCAGUGCAGUGAUGAGGGUGCUAUAUAUGGUCUCACCUGCCACUGGAAUGCAAAAAGCAACUGACACUACAUGAAGAUGAGUGAAUAUGGCCAUGGUCCAAUAAAACUUUACCUGUAGAUACUGAAACCUGUAUUUCAUGUAAUUUUCACACACAGUGGAAUUUUUUCAAGUCAUAAAAAUUCAGAGGCCAUUCUUAGCUUGUAGGCUGUUCAAAAACAGAAGCUGGCCAGAGUUGUUUCAUCAGCAAUUAACCAGACUGUCUUACAGAAAUAUAGCCCAAGGAAUUUAUCACACAAAUUCAUAAAUCAGUUAGGUACUGUAACAGCUAUCAAAAGGUUAUAAGCAAAGACUCUGAUAAAAACAAAUCAAGGGAACAGAAUCAAUGCUGAGAAAAAACUAUAGCUUAGGAAAAUUUUACCCACCCCACCCCCUUCAAGAAAAAUUUUUUUUGAAACUUAAAAAACUGCACUUCACAGAUGCUGCAUUUUUUACAAACUGAAGAUACAUGGCAGCCUGGGUCAAGAAGGCCUACCCAUGUUAUUUUUCCAACAGUAUUUGCUCAUUUCAUGUAUGACAUUUUGGUCAUACUUGCAAAAUUUCAAACCCUCUACCAGCAAAGACUGACUUACUGAAGACUCAGAUGAUGGUUAGCAUUUUCAGCAAUAAAGCUUAAAUUAAGGUGUGUACUUGUUUAUAGACAGUUCUGUAAGACUACAACAUAGGGUUAGCAUAACUUGUAAGUACUGGGAAACCAAAAAAUUCCUGAGAUUCAACUCUUGCCAUACUCAGUUUGAGGUGGUCUGGAACGAAACCCACAGUAUCCCCAAGGCAUGCCUAUACCGCAUACCUGAUACUAUCCAGUCAGACCAACUAUUUCACACAAUUACUGUAUUUUAAAGAAACAAAAUUCUUUGAGCUUCUAGUCAAAACCAAAGUAACUUGUAAGGUACAGAAAAUUAAAAUCAGAUCUUCAUCAGCAAUGUUUUAUGCCAGAAGAAAAUGGUAGUAUAUUCCAAGAUGCUCAAAGGAAUUACGGGUUAUAAACCCAGUAAAUGACUCUAGUCUCAUGGUUACGGAUUCAGUGCAAUUUGUCACUGUGGCUCGGGUCACUGCUGUGGCAGAUGUGGCCCCUCCCUGGUGCAGUAACUGCAACUUUCACACGCCAUGGGCAUGG
rnacentral:lncRNA from 1 species